rnacentral:lncRNA from 1 species
GAAGAAAGAAUUAAUAAACUUGAAGGACAAUAUGUACAAGUAUUAGAUAAUAAUAUGUUCCACUUCAACAAGAACUACGUUGAGAAAAAUGAUGUAAUGUAGUUGUAUAUCUAGUAGUAUUUAGAUAAUACGUUCUACUUCAACAAGAAAGCCAAACUUUGAUCUAACAAAGGUGAAAGUUUGUUCAUAACAACAACAUUAAUUAUUGUGGAAUUCACAUAUGAUAAUCAAUAACUAAUUACAAUAGGGGCACGGCAAGAACAAAUUAUUAAAAAUCCAUGGUACAAGAGUUUUCCUACUGCUGAACUUGAGCUUGGCAAUGAAUUUCUGACUCAGAAACUCGUUUCUUGUAUUGAGCAAUGAAAGCUGUGGCUCUGAGGUCAAUGACAGGAUCAGCCACCCCCCAGCGACCUCUGUCCUCAUCACUAGGCCAAACUUUGGUCCAUUGCUUUGGUGCAUCAUCAUAAUUAGCAUCAUAGUGCCCUCCUCCUCUUUGCCUAUUGCUAGAUUUGAAAAUGUUGAAAACUGACUUGAAGGUGGAAGAUUUCCUUUGCCUGUUACCACCCAUAGCUAUUGAAUUUGAAAACACUAGAGAGUAGUAGUGAGUAGUGUUCCUUUGGUUAGUGAGGAUAUUAUUAGGCUUGAUGAAUAGGAAAGAAUUGAAGAAUUGUCUUGUGUUGUGUGUUCCAACAUGCUAGCUAGGGAGUUUCAAUUUAUAUAGUACUGCUAAACGUCCUUUGUUAAGCUUAGACAAGGGAAUCUGAUUCAAACCAACCGGUAAGUCCCAAUAUUCAUGGUCCAAACAUACUCACAUGGGACAGUAAACAAUUA